rnacentral:misc_RNA from 1 species
AUCUUAUUCCUUUUGCUUGUGUGGGUGUUUCCACACGAUCAAGCACUCCGCGCCGCAUGCCCCUGAUUCGUUGAUAAUUCCGUGCACAUUAGGCUUGGUGAAGAGAGACUUACACAGACUCUGCUCUCACACGCAGACGCGAGGCAGAGAGAGGGGGAGGGGCACGGUUGUGUUUAGUCGAGAAUGGACAGCUUACACGAGGCGCACCUGUCGCGCAUUUUAGAGGCACGACGGCGCCGUGGUGUGCUAGGUACGUUCCAUGAGCCAGUAGCGGCCCCGCCAUCGCGCGAGGACGCCAACGGUGUAAUGUCGCCGCCGCUACCCACUCCUUUCAAGCGCCGCGGUUCUUCCACGGGCACGCAGACGGCGGGUAGCCCGAGGAUGUCGGCAGCGGCGCAGACGGUGCCAGCGCUAGCAGCACCGACAUCGACGCCGCCGUUUGCCCACUCUUCGCCAGGAGCAUCAACCGCGCCGUCGGACCGGCGGCAAAGUGUGCCGCGGGGCAGGUCAGCGGCAGCCGACAUGCCGCUGCUCACGUCGCCGAAUCCAAAGGCAGCGCUAAAUGGAGGGUUGCGCUUCCAGUCACCCGGCCGCGUUCCAUCACUAGCCUACAGCACCCCGAACUCGGCCUCGCGACGACGCACAGAUCCGUGGCGAUCGCCAGCUCCCGCAUCAGCGGCGUCCGGCUGGUUUUCCAGGUCGAGGGAGCGCGCGCGCCUCACCGAGCCUCUGCCACCACCACUCUACAUUCCGCGGUCGCACUCUGUUCCACGCAAGCCUCUGUGGCCUGAGCGGCCACCAAUCAAGGCACCGUGGGACUGGCAGACAUCUUUUCCACACGCGCAUCCGCUCUCGGUGGCGCCGACGGGAAUGAAUACCUGGCGUGACCGCAGCUGCACAGGCACGCGCACUUCACCCAUGGCUUGGAGUCAACGAGACACGAACCAUCUCUCACAGGGGGGUGAUGGGCUAGCCACGGAGCCACGCAUGAAGCGGCCUUCCCGCAAAUCUAGAGGCGGCCGCGACGAUCACCGCCGCUCUUCUCGUCACCGAUCGGGGCGCCAUCGCGGACACGGCGCUCAGCCGUGCGGCCAUGAUUACGACGACAACGAAGCCGAGAUCGUGAGUUUCCCACCCGAGCGACACGGGCACUCUGGCGUUGUAGAACCCUCACCCCGCGAUGCCAACCACCAGCGGCGAGCAGAUUCACGACGGCGCAAGGGGGCGGGCCGGGACGAGGAUGGUGCGAUCAACAGAGCGCGACGCUCUGGUCGGCGGGGACGUUGCCACGCACGGCAGCGCGGAGAGACCUACGCACCACCUGUUGUGUACAUGGGCUCUGCGACCGGGGCGUCGCCGCCGUCACCCUCCUCGCAGGGAGGCAGCUCACGACAGUCCCGUUCAACGUCCGCGGCGCUACCGCCACAGCGCUCACCGAGACUGUCACGGCCUCCUGCGCGGGUGGAGCGCAAGCCCACCCUUGGUCUUCCGGACGCCCACUCUACGAUGGACCUGCGCACGAGUGUCGAGACACUGCGCGCUGGCGAUUGGUUCUACAAGUGGACAUCCAAGGGCGACUCGGUGCACCGGCGGUGGUUCUGGAUUGACACGAAAAGCUACCUUCUCGUGUGGAGCAACUACGAGACCUACAACCCGCACUUCUGCGGCAGUGUACGCCUCGACGACAUCUGCCAGGUCACCUCGCGCGACCUGUCCAGUGUGGACGAGGACGGAUUCCCUAAGACGUACUACGUCCUGCUGAUCGAAACGAGGAAGCGGGUGCUGCAGCUGGCGACCGAGCUGAAAGACAAAUGCGACACGUGGUUUGAGGCCUUGAAUAAUGUGAUGGGAUUCAUCCACCGUAAUGACAUGGCAAGGGGUGCCCUGAUCCCUGACUGAGUGCGUAGGUACGCACAAGCUGUUUUGUUUUUGCUUGCUUUUCGGGGUUGUGGUGAGUAUGUGUACGCGUUCUUGUUGACAUGCAUGUGAGCGUGUCUGUCUCGCUCACUGCGGCUCUGUACCGCUGCCUCUCUCUGUGUGUCUGUGGGUUUUUGACAUUGUGUCUGUUUUUGUCCUGUCUCCCUCUCUCCGUACUACUACCGAUGGUCACGAUAUUCUCUCUUAGACUUUCCUCUUUCUUUUUUUUUCCGGCUUUCUCAGUGGCCCCUCGCACUUUGUUAGUGUGGCCCCCCGUCUACUCCGCUUCCUCCUCGCUCUCUCUCUCUCUCGCAGUGGUAGGUCAGCUGGCGCCUUGAUAGAAACGGAGCCGUGGCUUGUGUGCGAGUGUGUGACAGGCGCGCGGGCUUCCCUCUCCUCUGUUGCCCUCCCCCCUCCAUUCUUUCUGCACUGUGCUGCAAGUUGCAGGAGGAGGACCUUCGCUUCCAUCUAUUACGCACUGAACAACAGCAAAAGAAGACAACCACGCACACAGACAGCGAGAAUAAUCUGCAGGGAGGGGACUAAACACCCAUGACGGCUCAGUAGGAGUGGUUUCAGGCGACACACACACACACACACACAAACAUGCGCCUGAUUGCGCCUCUCCCUCCCGAUCUGCUUUGCCAUUUCUUCAGUGUUAUACAAAGAGAAAAGAAGCGGCGAUCGAAACCGCCGCUGCUUCUUACUGACACACAGGCAUGCAGACGCUCAUCAUACUCCUUCCCCCACCUCGCUAGCACACAGACACUAAUUUCUGCCCACCGUCUUGCACUCUCUCCUUCGAUUGCUGCUGUUGCGCCUGUUCUUCUCCCUGUAUGUGGCACCUGCAG